rnacentral:ncRNA from 12 species
UUAGCUCAGUUGGCAGAGCAUGGGACUGUAGUUGUGCAGAUAUCCUAGGGUCGCUGGUUCGAUUCCGGC